CCAGGCCUGGGAUUCCGAGGUGUUUCCAUUCGGUGAUCAGCACUGAACACAGAGGACUCGCCAUGGAGUUUGGACUGAGCUGGGUUUUCCUUGUUGCUAUUUUAAAAGGUGUCCAGUGUGAGGUGCAGCUGGUGGAGUCUGGAGGAGGCUUGGUCCAGCCUGGGGGGUCCCUGAGACUCUCCUGUGCAGCCUCUGGAUUCACCUUCAGUAGCUACCACAUGAGCUGGGUCCGCCAGGCUCCAGGGAAGGGUCUGGAGUGGGUCUCAGUUAUUUAUAGUGAUGGCAGUAGCACAUACUACGCAGCCUCCGUGAAGGGCAGAUUCACCAUCUCCAGAGACAAUUCCAAGAACACGCUGUAUCUUCAAAUGAACAGCCUGAGAGCUGAGGACACGGCCGUGUAUUACUGUGCGAAAGACACAGUGAGGGGAAGUCAUUGUGCGCCCAGACACAAACCUCCCUGCAGGAACGCUGGGGGAAAUCAGCUGCAGGGGGCGCUCAGGAUCCACUGAUCAGAGUCAGCCCCAGAGGC